rnacentral:rRNA from 1 species
CAUGCAAGGCGAGGGGGCAGCAAUGUCACCGUCGUACGGGUGCGUAACGCGUAUGCAACCUACCUAUCACUGGGGGAUAGCCCGGGGAAACCCGGAUUAAUACCGCAUAAUACAGGGGGCCCACAUGGGUCUAUUUGUUAAAGAUUUAUCGGUGGUAGAUGGGCAUGCGUUCGAUUAGCUAGUUGGCAGGGUAACGGCCUACCAAGGCGACGAUCGAUAGGGGAGCUGAGAGGUUGAUCCCCCACACGGGCACUGAGAUACGGGCCCGACUCCUACGGGAGGCAGCAGUAGGGAAUAUUGGGCAAUGGAUGCAAGUCUGACCCAGCCAUGCCGCGUGCCGGAUGAAGGCCCUCAGGGUUGUAAACGGCUUUUAUUCGGGAAGAAGAGCAGGGAUGCGUCCCUGUGUGACGGUACCGAAUGAAUAAGCACCGGCUAACUCCGUGCCAGCAGCCGCGGUAAUACGGAGGGUGCGAGCGUUGUCCGGAUUUAUUGGGUUUAAAGGGUGCGUAGGUGGCUGUUUAAGUCAGUGGUGAAAUACGGUUGCUCAACAAUCGAGGUGCCAUUGAUACUGAAUAGCUUGAAAUAAUUGGAGGCUGCCGGAAUGGAUGGUGUAGCGGUGAAAUGCAUAGAUAUCAUCCAGAACACCGAUUGCGAAAGGCAGGUGGCUACGAUUUAUUUGACACUGA